GAUGAAGAACGUAGUGAAAUGCGAUAAGUAAUGUGAAUUGCAGAAUUCAGUGAAUCAUCGAAUCUUUGAACGCACAUUGCGCCCAUUAGUAUUCUAGUGGGCAUGCCUGUUCGAGCGUCAUUAAGUCCACUUAAGCCCUGCUUAGUGUUGGGAGACUGCUCCAGCGGUGCUACCCUGUAGCUACCCUGCAGCUCCUCAAAGACAGCGGCGGAGUUGUGGUAUCCUCUGAGCUUAGUAACUUGUUCUAGCUUUCGAGUACACCACUUCCCCUGCCGUAAAACCCUUAAUUUUUAAUGGUUGACCUCGGAUCAGGUAGGAAUACCCGCUGAACUUAAGCAUAUCAAAAGCGGAGGA
rnacentral:misc_RNA from 1 species